rnacentral:rRNA from 1 species
AAUGGACGCAAGUCUGAACCAGCCACGUCGCGUGAAGGAAGACGGCCCUACGGGUUGUAAACUUCUUUUGUAAGGGAAUAAAGUGUAGUACGUGUACUAUUUUGCAUGUACCUUACGAAUAAGGAUCGGCUAACUCCGUGCCAGCAGCCGCGGUAAUACGGAGGAUCCGAGCGUUAUCCGGAUUUAUUGGGUUUAAAGGGUGCGCAGGCGGGAGAUUAAGUCGGCGGUGAAAUUUUGCAGCUCAACUGUAAAAGUGCCUUCGAAACUGGUUUCCUUGAGUGUAGAUGAAGUAGGCGGAAUUUGUGGUGUAGCGGUGAAAUGCAUAGAUAUCACGAGGAACUCCGAUUGCGCAGGCAGCUUACUAAACUACUACUGACGCUCAGGCACGAAGGCGUGGGGAUCAAA